AACAGCUCAAAUUUGAAAUCUGGCCUCUUCGGGGUCCGAGUUGUAAUUUGUAGAGGGUGUUUCGGGCGCGAUGCCGGUCUAAGUUCCUUGGAACAGGAUGUCGCAGAGGGUGAGAAUCCCGUACGCGACCGGUGAUCAAGCCUAUGUGAAGCCCCUUCGACGAGUCGAGUUGUUUGGGAAUGCAGCUCAAAAUGGGUGGUAAAUUUCAUCUAAAGCUAAAUAUUGGCCAGAGACCGAUAGCGGACAAGUAGAGUGAUCGAAAGAUGAAAAGCACUUUGGAAAGAGAGUCAAACAGUACGUGAAAUUGUUGAAAGGGAAGCGCUUGCAAUCAGACCGGUCCGGAGGCGAUCAGCCGUCUGCUCGUUCAGCGGUGCACUCGCCUGCGAUCCGGCCAGCAUCGGUUUGGGCGGUGGGAUAAAAGUCCCGGGAAUGUAGCUUCUCUUGGGGAGUCUUAUAGCCCGGGUCGCAAUGCCGCCUGCCCGGACCGAGGACCGCGCUUCGGCUAGGAUGCUGGCGUAAUGGUUGCAAGCGACC
rnacentral:rRNA from 1 species